rnacentral:tRNA from 4 species
AGGUGAGUAAGUUAAUAUAAACUACGGGGUUCAUGUCCCCAUAAUAUGGUUUCCAUCUCACCCA